CAGAGACACAGUUUCGCCAUGUUGCAGAAGCUGGUCUCAAGCUCCUGGACUCAAGUGAUGGAUCCGCCCACCUCGGCAUCCCAAAGUUCUGGGACUACAGGCGUGAGCCACCUUGUCUGAUUAAUGCUUGAUGGUACUGACCUUAGAGUCUUAGGAGGGAGGAGGCCUGUGAAAAAAGAUGGGAAAAUGAGAAGCCUAAAAUUUUCAACACUUUCAAGUUUAUGAAAAGGACAAGGGAACCAAAGGAGUGAAAGAUGCAAAGGCUGCAACAAUGGGCAGGGAAAAGGCAGGAUCUGUGUUUAAAUGAGGACCGCAGAGAUGAGCUCUCAGAAGGAGGAAGGAGAACAAUCCCCUGGCAGCAGCUUGCGCAGUUUCAUAGU